CCUACGGGGUGCAGCAGUGAGGAAUAUUGGUCAAUGGACGAGAGUCUGAACCAGCCAAGUAGCGUGAAGGAUGACUGCCCUAUGGGUUGUAAACUUCUUUUAUAUGGGAAUAAAACGUUCCACGUGUGGGAUUUUGUAUGUACCAUAUGAAUAAGGAUCGGCUAACUCCGUGCCAGCAGCCGCGGUAAUACGGAGGAUCCGAGCGUUAUCCGGAUUUAUUGGGGUUAAAGGGAGCGUAGGUGGAUUGUUAAGUCAGUUGUGAAAGUUUGCGGCUCAACCGUAAAAUUGCAGUUGAAACUGGCAGUCUUGAGUACAGUAGAGGUGGGCGGAAUUCGUGGUGUAGCGGUGAAAUGCUUAGAUAUCACGAAGAACUCCGAUUGCGAAGGCAGUUCACUGGACUGCAACUGACACUGAGGCUCGAAAGUGUGGGUAUCAAACAGGAUUAGAUACCCGGGUAGUC
rnacentral:rRNA from 1 species